rnacentral:rRNA from 1 species
AUUGAACGCUGGCGGCAUGCCUUACACAUGCAAGUCGAACGGUAACAGGUCUUCGGAUGCUGACGAGUGGCGAACGGGUGAGUAAUACAUCGGAACGUGCCUAGUAGUGGGGGAUAACUACUCGAAAGAGUGGCUAAUACCGCAUGAGAUCUACGGACGAAAGCAGGGGAUCGCAAGACCUUGUGCUACUAGAGCGGCCGAUGGCAGAUUAGGUAGUUGGUGGGAUAAAAGCUUACGAAGCCGACGAUCUGUAGCUGGUCUGAGAGGACGAUCCGCCACACUGGGAAUGAGACACGGCCCAGACUGAUACGGGAGGCAGCAGUGGGGAAUUUUGGACAAUGGGCGAAAGCCUGAUCCAGCAAUGCCGCGUGCAGGAUGAAGGCCUUCGGGUUGUAAACUGCUUUUGUACGGAACGAAAAGCCCCGGGUUAAUACCCUGGGGUCAUGACGGUACCGUAAGAAUAAGCACCGGCUAACUACGUGCCAGCCGCCGCCGUAA